rnacentral:lncRNA from 1 species
UUGAAUUACAUGUCGGAUGUGUCUGCUAUGUACUCAGUGGAGGUAUGAUAGUACAGCUAAUUGUUCUUCUGCUGGCUGGACGAUGCUUGUUUUCUGUAGGUAUGUUUCUUUUUCGAGAAACAGCUUCAACAGAAGUUUUUAUUUGAGUUAUCAUAGAAGAGAAACAUUCGUAAUAGGGGUGUCCCCUGUGCAUGAGUGCAUGGUUGGUGAUAUCACAAUGGGCAAUCAAGGAUAGCUAAGACAACCUAGAGGGACAGGGGGUUAUUAGCAUAUGAACUGUGGUCGUCAAGCUAAUAUACCUAAGAGUAUCAAUCCUUUGUAUGUUUGGAGUUUUGUUGUAUAACAGAAUCGAUGUGUCAUGUCUGUAUGCUGAAGCAUGCUGUCUCUCACAUGGAUUUCAAUUAUGAACCGUAUGCUCAUGGUUAUGUAUGCUUUCUGUUUCAUAUAUGUGCCAAUGAUGUAGUGUAUAAUAAAUCCAAUCUAACAAGUAUAGUAUCUGGGUGUGGUUUUACCUUCUAUGACCCGCUUGUAGUUUGGGAGGGCUAUCAAGGGUCGGGGCAUUUAUUAUAUGAACAGUUCUAUCGUUUUUACUUUUUGGUACUGCAUAGAGUUGGACCUCCAUUUGUAGAACAACUUCUCAGUUCUCCAGAUCCUUGUCAUGCUCAAUUAUGUCCAUCCUGAUCCUUGUUCUGUGUUGCUUUGAACAGGGACGCCAUGUGAAGAAAAAGGGAUACCCGGAAGGUCUUUAGAUCACAGUACAGUGUGCACAAACUUUGUUUUCAGUCAGUCACAAGUUUAUUGGGUACUGGAUAAGGAUGUUAUGUAUAUGUGUAACUGGAUCAGUUGCUGCUCUGCCCUGUUUGUAAGAAUCCUUGUAUGUUUAUGCUUGAAAAAGCUGUCUAUGUCCAGAGUCCGAUCUAUCUGUGUUGCG